CCAUCCGCUGUUGUGAAAAGAGAUAUCGAUCGACAUCGCAUGUGUUGCUUGGACCACCAAAAGAGUUGAAGAUGCUGAUGAUAAGCAAAUUCAGUGUAUCCGUGGCAUGUCCAUCCACUUCAACUUAUCGACAGGACAGAGAAUGAUGAACAAGUAGAUUGCUCUCUCUGUGAUCAACGAUGUUUAGGCCUAACGUACGGAUGCUGCGACUUUUACCUUCACAAAUCUUGUGCUGACAUCAAAGAGAUCGACAACUACUUCCACCAUCACCCUCUCAAGCUACAAAAAUCAAAUCCAUACAGCCCUUAUGGAUGUAAGGCGCGCAUGUGGGAAGAAAAAUGAUUUAGUCUUUGGAUGCUUGGGAUGUGAUUUUUACUGGAUGCUAAAUGUGCUCUGAUUCCCACCAUCACUCAAGAAGGUUGUGAGGAUUUUCGACAUCCUAUCCAUCCACAUCCCUUGACGAUCCUUGAGAAGAAUGAAAAUCAUGCAGAUGUUAUUACCUGUUCUGGAUGCCAAAAGCCAUGCUCAGGCACAACAUAUAGAUGUGAGAACUGUGAAUUCUACCUUCACAAGUCAUGUGCUGAGCUACCACUAGCCAUUGACCAACCUUUCCAUCCAUCCCACAGGCUCGCCCUAACCAUGCAAUUCGAUAGUUUUGUUUGCGAAGCAUGUUGCGGAACUUCCCAGAAUUGCUUCGCAUACUCUUGUCCCGCUAAGUCAUGUAAAUUUAUCAUCGAUUUAAGAUGUGCUUCUCUAAAGCCAAACAUAAAAUUUGAAGGCCAUGAGCAUCUUCUCCUCCUAUUCAAACGUUUGUCUCAAGCACGUAAAGCUAAAUGAGAUUUGUGCGUUGGCGUGUGCAAAUCCAACGUGUUUAGGUGCGUAGAGUGCGAUUACAAUCUUCACCUUCUAUGUGGUCCAUUGCCGUGUACCGUUCAACACAAAUGUCUGAAUACCAAUCAUCGACUCAAACUGAUGGAUCCUUUUGUUGAAGAACUUGACGCGGAUGAGCAUUAUUGCGAUGCUUGUGAGAAAUUAAGAGAUCCUGACGAAUGCGUCUACUACUGUAAGCAAGACAAUUUAAUCGUCGAAAUCAAAUGUGUGAUUACUGAGGUGUUAUAUUCACUUAAGGGAGCACGCGGGACGUGAAGUUGAGAACUGUAAAUAGUCGAAUAGGUGGUCUGGUCAUUAGUGAGACCAAGCGAAAAGAAACAGAAGAUAUUGAAAUUGAGAGUGAUCCUGGGUUAAGAGGAUAUACAAGCAAAGUGUAUAUAUGUCAAACUUGGCAAAAAUGUUGACCAGGUAGUGGACUCUUUAACUAGAAAGGAACGAAAAGAAAUGUCGAAAAUCUUUGAAGGUGCAGGUUUUCGCGUGUCAUUAGGCAGCGGUUAUGACAACAAGGACUCUCGAGACACAGAGGAAUCAAGAUGUGUGGAAGAAAAUAAAGACAACAACAGCGAUAGCACUUCACAAGUCUUAACAUACUCGAACGAGGCGUUUACACAAUUGAUGGAAAAUCUUGUUUCAAUGGAUGGAAGCGACGCAGUUUUGCUUCAUAAGUGUUUCCCAACAUAUUCAGAAGUCGUUGGAAUUGGCCAACUCUUGGUUGCUGAAGAAUUGGCCCCUUCACUAACGGAGUUGUUAUCCAAAUAUGAUGACUUUACAGCCACAUCAAAGUUGGGCGCCAAUCCAAAAGAUGGGAUUCCUGAAUGUAUUCUGCGCAAUUAUAUGCGAGAUGUGCAACACCAAAGUCAGGGUGGUCGAUGAAAGCUUGCUCAAUAAAUGGCGGAGGACUCUCCCACUUGUGCAACUUGCCGGAUUUGAGAUUGAGUUUGCUGUUGAUAGGCUGAAUAAAAUAACGCGGGUAUACUUUGCAAUGAAAGCUAAAUCAUUCCUUAGCAAAGUGAAGUCCAAAGUUGAGGAGCUUUCAGUUGGGGUUAAGGAGUUGGAAGCAAAAUUAGAGGCCGAGAAGAUGAAUUUGGAGAAGCUGGCAUUGGAAGUAGAACAACAUGAAACUGUUAUUGAAUAUAGAAGAUCCGCCUUGUUGGAGGAGUGCUUCAAUGAUCUAUCCCAGCUCAGGUGGAAGAAGGCAUGGGAUGGAUCUCAUCUAAUGUAUCGUUAAUCCAUCGGAUAUAGACAAUCCCAGUCACUUGUGACUUGUCUUCAAAUAUUCGAAAGGUGGCUAAGGAAUGAUCGUCCCCUUCCAGAUGUUGAGUCUCUUCAGUCUCUUUAAGCAAGUUAGUGUUGUUGUUGCUGUUUGCCUCUUUGAGGCUUGAAUAGUUGAAUGUACAAAACCAGUGGGUUAUGUGAGU